AUAGGGUUGUCACUCUGGCUCCAGCCAGUUGUCCUUUGAACUCUUCAAGGAAGGGAGGGCUUGAAGUUUUAUGUUCUGAACACACAAUUUUAAAAACAGCUGUAAUUUCAUGAAAAACAUUCAUGAUAUUUGUUAAAUUGAGAACCUGAAGCCAAUUAGUGGAUGCACUUCCAGACUGGGGGAGGGAGGAAGGAAGAAUUUUUUGUACCAGUUUAAAUGUCCAGACUUGUGUUUGAGUUACAGGUGUCUGAACAGUCAGGCUCAAAGUCUUUAAUCCUGCCAAUACUGCUACAUAUUGGUACCAAACCAGUCAACUACAAAGAGUUUCAAAGCUAAGGCCUAUUUCUGACAGAUAAGGUUACCAAGUAUUCAGUGGAAAGUCUACUCUUUGAGAGCUCAGAGGCCUGAAUGGCACCACAGGUUUAAAACCCAAACUUAGGCAGUGUAUCAUACUCAAAUAAAAUCUACAGAGACUUCUGGCAACAUUUUUUAAAUAAAAUGUGAAUGACAAAUUUUAUUAAAUGCACUCUUAAAAAAGUAUAUCUUUCUUAAAUAAGGAUUUCUCAGUAUGGAUUUCAAUGUAAAACAGUUUUAAGUCAUAAUAAUUAACAGGAUCAAUAAAAAAAGUCACUUAUGUACGGUAGUCUUCAAUCAUAUUUAAACAUAUGCACUGUGUGUGGUGUCCUCUUUCACAUGCUAGAUGAUGUCUGUGCAGCAUGGCUGGACAAGAUCAGCUCCAUUUUGUACUUGCACACAUUUAGAAUAAGCAGUAGGCAAGGGGUUGUAGCAGUUUUUAGAAACCCUCCCUCUCCCCCCCACAAAAAAAAAAAAGGCUUACCAAUACCGUGUAUUUUAUGCAGAAGAGCAUGCCAUGCUGCUUUUUUCCGCUGCUUAAAAGCACGUUUUAGAAAUGUCUUACAAAUAAUACACUGAAACAAUGCAUGAGAAGACUUCACCAUGGCAAUUUCACUGGAGCUUUAUUGCCUCUGUUGGUAAUGAGAGGGAUUGUAAGAAGUUACAUUGGAACUUACAGAGAUAUGUAAAUGAUGGGGUUUUUACUAAAUAUAAUCUUGUAAUUAAGUGUUUUAUAUCAGGGCACUUCUAAUUUUGUACAUAUUUAAUGUAUAAAACCAGGUUACAAACAUGAUGUUUGCUUUUUUUUUUCCUUGACAUUUGGCAAAAUUAAAGUGAUUCAUUUAAGGGGAGAUCAUCAAAUUGAAGACAUAAGCACUUACGAACGAAUUAAAGCAAUCCAAGUAAGUAACUGGCUGAAUUCUUAAAAAAAAAAGAAAAAACACACAAAUAUAGAAGGAAAAAAAAACCAACAAAAAAACCACACAUGGCCACAUUGAGCACAUUUCAAUGCAAAAUAUUCUCUGUAACGAGGCAUUUUGUCCUUAGAACAACACCCUGUUAAAUCAAUGUUUCUUUCAACUUCAGUCACUUCACAAAAUAACCCUUUCCUGCAACAUAAUUAGUCAAAGUUUUAUGUAUUUCUUUAUAAUUACACAGUAAUUAUAAGCAUGUAGUACCAAACUGAUGACAACACUAUUUUGUUGAAAAGAUCUUGCAUUCAAAAGGAAUAUUCUUUAAAACACCACGGCAUUAUGCCACUACCCAAUCUCAGACUUUUUUGAACGACAAGUCUGUACUGGGAUGAAAAGCAAGUCAGUUCUCUCCAAACACAGCAUACUUGAACUAAUCAAUCUGAAACUGUACCAAAACC